GCUUACCUUUGACUCCAACUACCCGUGGUUGGAAUUAUUUAUUUGAUUCUGUAUUAUUCAGCUGGUAGAUAGUUCCAAGAAGUAUUGGUCGGUGACAAUAAAAGUAGGCUAUGUUCGCUAUUUUUCCUUAUAUCCGCAACAGUGUCUCUUGUCUGUCUUCAAGUUGUAACGUUCGCUCCCAUGUCUGGAUGUGGCGAAUCGUUUCCCCUUUAAAACUGUAGCUGGCAGCCUCGUCGAAUGUCCCUCAAAAGAUCCGUAUCACUGCUUGUCCGGCGUCGUCACUACUCGGAAUGUAAGCAUGCACAAAAGUGAGAAGAAUCGCUGUGUAGUAGUUGGUCCUUGCUCCGAGCAGCCGUUUUUGCCUAUGAAACUGGAUUGCAUACCUCCCUGACUAUUGCACAAUGGCCCGCCAGCUAGAAUAUAUUCAUGAGAUCACGGGGCUGUUGUCUCCGACGGGAGAAAGGCAUUUUUCAUGUCCCUCACACACCCUACACAAGGCUAGCGACUGACUUUUCUCCUCGCCCCUAGACCAGAGUAGCUGAUCAUUACAGAAGGAGUCAUCGAGAGAGAUGUCACCCCUGCCUCCACGGUGACGUCGGUUCGGUAACGAUCGUUAAUCAUUCCCAUUGACGAUUACAUUUUGUAUAUUGUAUAUUAGGUCUGUUUCAGAAUGGUAGCCUGUUUAUUCAGAGGAAAUGAUUUAGAGUUGCAGGUAGACAUCUAUAGAAUAUAGGCCUACAAAUAUAGAUUUCCACAGGGUGUCUGCAGUGUGUGUGCAGAGGUGUCUGCAGUAUUCUGCUAGAGGGCAGCGUAGCGUGGAGAAAACACUCCGACCUGCAGUUUUCCGUUGCCCUGGAAACAGGUAGAGAUCCUCUCCUGUUCUUCAUCUUUCUCUCCUCUACCCAGUGUCCCCUCCUCCUCCUCUCCCUCCUACUCCUUCUCUUCCCUCUUCCCCCCACCGCCUCCUCUUCACCCUCCUCCUCCUCCCUUAAUUCCUUCCUCUCCACCCCCGUCCUAUGCCCCCUCCCCCCACGACCUGCCGCA
rnacentral:lncRNA from 1 species